rnacentral:lncRNA from 1 species
AACUCUGGAAAAGCUCAGCAUCAGCAUUUGAGAGCCAAAGCUUGCAAAUUAUGUGAUUAAUCUACAAGCUGAUAUCAUGAUGUCAAAAUGCAGUUCGGGAAGCAUAAAUACAGAAGUUGCAGAAAUUAAAACGUAAGCUGUGCUGGAACAAAAAUGCAAUGA